rnacentral:lncRNA from 1 species
GGGAACAUCACUCUGUGAGCUUAGCCUCCGUCAUCAAAAGGGAAAUGGGUGGGCAUCGAGGAGGAGGCGGGAGCGGAGCGCAAGGGGGGCCGGCGGGUGCGAGAGGAGCGUUGUGCAGGCAGGAAAAUGGAAUGCAAAAAGUCAGUCACUCGGGUGGUCUUGCUCAUACAUCCUGAAGAACCCACUGUCAAAGCUGCCAGUCCAGCACUCCAUGUUGCAGUGCUCAAGCCUGCUGAUUGGCUCAUCUUUUUGGAAAGCCAAGUCAUGCCAAGGUGGUUUGCAGACAGCUGUGUCCCUGUGUAUCUUACAACUGCCCAGAUGGCCAGAAAUGUGACACAAGCAAUUCAUGCUGAUAUCAGCGAGAUGAUAUAGCAAAUUGAUCUGGCUUCAUCCUGAACAAUAAAGUCCUAUGACCUGCCAUCAUGUUGCAUCAAGAUGUGGCCCAAUGGCGCAUGGCAAAGUGAAUUGCAUGGCAUCCAGAUUGGGAUUGGCAUACAUCUAAACAUCUACAGAUACCUGGGUUGAAGACUUCUUCCAAGAAAUUCACUGACGUUUUCUGUGCCUCCUAUAUGAGGUAUGGCAAGGCGAACAUGGAGGCAAGGCAGGCAAACGGAAGAACAUUUUGUAGCAGUGUCUUGAGCAUGACUUUCCAGAUGGGACAUCGCCCAUCUACACAGAAUAUGCUUCUGCCAUUC